AUUUUCUUCUCUAGAAUGUUGUUAUAGCGUGGUUUGUCAUACCGUGUUGUUAUACGUUAGAUGUAUCAUCUCAAUUAACACAGAUUGUUUAGAUUUUUUCAUUUCUUUUUCUUCUGCUGUUUUGCCUCUCGUUUUGGUUAACGAACUAGAAAUGCUAUUGUGGAGAUAUUCCCGCUCCCCAGGGUGGAUGUAAAAUUCGCUUGGAAACAUCGUGAUGGAGAUGAGCCAACAAUAGUGAUAAAUCGUUGAUAAUUUUUCCAGUGUUUUAGUUUACAUCACGUCUCGGUGAGUUGUGUUAUUUUGUUUUUAAACUCGUUAAGUUUAUAUUUUUAUUCAUGUAAAUGUAAAACUACGUUGGCCGCAACUUUGUGACUCCUCAUAUCUCAUUUCUUGUGACAAUAGGGGGUCUUUCUCUACUGGAUCUCCAUUUUUACUUUCCCAGUUAAAAAAAUAAUAAUUAGACAAUUACUAUUCCAUUGAAAGGCUUAUUUCACGGCCGUUGUAAAGUUUGUCAAGACCAUAUUUUCUUGUGUUCCUUAAAAGUCAAAGUAUCUGUGUUUCUUGAGUUUUUGGGAAAAGUUCCUAAGCUGUGACUGGCUUGCGUGUGAUGGAAGGUUGAUGAAUCUAAACAAAUUCUCUUUGACGAAACAUUCCCCCGCACAGUUGGUAUUCCGGAAGAAAAAAAUAUGAACAAAACACGAAAAAGAAAACACGGAUAGUUUUGUUUUAACGCAAACUUGCUUUAUUAUAGUUAAUAUUUUUACGGAAGCCAAGUACACAUUCCUGACGAUAUUUUGAACAGCGAUGUUACACCUAAAUUGAUUUCCAGUUGAAUCCCGUCUGCGAUCUGCUGUUGAAAUUUGCAUCUUUCGUCUAUUAAAGGCCUCGUCCUAUAUUUAUAGCUUCGCCACAAUUGGCAGGAUAGCCGCAACAGCAUGGCCAUUUACAGAUAAUAGAAGAUGUAAAAAGACUAUUUACAACAAGUUAUAGGAGAUGUAAAAAUUCAUCGACAACAUUAUUCAACAAGUGGAUGAGUCCUUUUUGCAAGAGGAGGCUUAGACUAACACUGGCAAAUAAAAAUAACAAUGUUUUUUUUA